rnacentral:rRNA from 1 species
AAUUUUGCGCAAUGGGCGAAAGCCUGACGCAGCAACGCCGCGUGAAUGUUAAGCCCUUCGGGGUGUAAAGUUCUGUCAGUGGGGACGAAAUUUGACGGUACCCACAAAGGAAGCACCGGCUAACUCCGUGCCAGCAGCCGCGGUAAUACGGAGGGUGCAAGCGUUGUCCGGAAUCAUUGGGCGUAAAGCGUUCGUAGGCGGUAUGUCAAGUCUGGUGUUAAAUCCCGAAGCUCAACUUCGGUUCGGCACUGGAUACUGGCAAACUUGAAUGUGGUAGAGGUAACGGGAAUUCCUGGUGUAGCGGUGAAAUGCGUAGAUAUCAGGAGGAACACCUGUGGCGAAAGCGCGUUACUGGACCAUUAUUGACGCUGAGGAACGAAAGCCAGGGGAGCAAAUGGG